AGCAAAUAUGACGUUUUUAAACUCAGUCAAAUUAGACAUCUUUUUCCUGACAUUUCUUCAAAUUUUAUAAAUAAAACAAAUAGUUUAUACGAGAAUUAAAUGUUACAGGGUUUUAACACGUACCCCCGCUGUGUAUUAAUUGCUUGAGUUUUUUUAAGAGUAAAAAUUUUGUUCAAUAAUGCGUGCAAGUUAUUAUUUUGACGAUUACAUGUUUACAAUCAUGCAGAAAUAUUUUUUUGCAUCCUCUUAUCUCAAAAUGUAGCUCAAGGUUUCCUCUUCUGCUAUAACAGAAAACAAAUGUGAAGUUUUCUGUUAGUUUUUAUUAAGUAUUAGUUACAUCAAGUAAAUUCUUCUACACUCGGUAAACACUUCAACGUCCGCUGCAUGGAUUAAUGACCGAAAUGCAUGGAAGAAAAAAAUGACCAUCUGCUAUAUAUACAAUUAAUGUAAAAAUUUUAACAAUAAUAUACAAUUUAAUAAAA